AUGGAAGUUGAACGAUGGCGACCGUAUCUGUUGACCAAUGAGUUUGUCAUUCGAACAGACCACCGCAGCCUUGCCUGCUUGGAUGAGCAGCGGCUGACUACUCCAUGGCAACAAAAGGCGAUGACAAAAUUACUUGGGCUGCAUUACCGAAUUGAGUAUCGGAAAGGGGCUCUGAAUCAGGCAGCGGAUGCACUAUCACGUCAUCCAAAUGCACUUGCAUGUGUUAUCUCAGUCUGUGUGCCGCGGUGGCUAGAUGAGGUGAAGCAAGGUUAUGCUCAGGACUCAAAAUGCACCAACAUGUUAUCAUCUGCAGCGGCAGGAGCAACUCUGGUUGGUCCCUUUAAAGUGCAAGAUGGCCUUAUUCGUUAUAAAGGGCAUGUGUGGAUAGGUAACAACACAUCUGUCCAGCAGAGAAUACUGCAGGAACUCCAUUCCGGUGCCUUGGGAGGGCAUUCGGGCAUCCAAGCAACUUACAGCCGCGUCAAACAGCACUUCGCAUGGCCGCAGCUAAAGAGGACAGUGAAGGCCUACAUAUCGGAGUGUUCAGUGUGUAAACAGGCAAAACCGGAGCAUGUGAAAUACCCGAGCUCCGUUACCCGUGCCUAA
rnacentral:rRNA from 1 species